UCCCACAGAGACACUGGAUCACGCAUCAGACCACUACAGCACCGCAACAUCCUGCUUCAUCCAUCAGGAGGAUCAAGUCACACAAAUAGCUCUGGGGAAACUGCUGUUGCAGCUGUGACUGGGAAAAGUAAAACAUCAAUUCCUGUGAACCACGGAACCAUUUCCAGCGAAGACGGCUCCAGCGUGUUUGACAGAACGAACGUGAAAUGGCCAAUUCCCACAGAGCGAGAGGUCACAGCUACCGCG